GUUUUUUUUAGAAGCAUAUAAACUUUCACUUAGCAAAAGUGCAGGAUAAUACAUAAAGUUACACAUUUUGGUGUCUGCACUUAGCUUUUUUGAGCAGAAUCACAGAGAAGCUAUUAGACAGCCCAAAACGUUUGAGUACACAGUACUUCAAGCAACAAUCUGUUACAUACAUAUGUAUUAUUAUCUGAAUCUGUUCUCCUUUAUGUCAAAAGCCAACUUCUGCUUUAUCUACAUGCCUGUAUAUCCAUGUACAUGUGUGUAAUACAGUAGGGGAGAAUGGCAUUCCCUAUGCUAGUUCCCAAGCUUCCAGAAUGCUGUGUGUACAAUGGUUGGCAGUGCAGCUCUGUGCCCGUGGGCUGACAGGCUACAGUCCUGGGUCUUUUCAUUAUCGUAAAUCCCUGACAGCACAGCAAAACACUCAGGCAGCAGGAAGAGCUGCAGGAGUCCACAUCUCUGCUGUGUGAACCAUGUGCUAUCAGCCAUCAGGUUUAGAGAAGAAAUGCACAGUAUGCUACAGCACUAAGGAGCAAAGCAAGCAGGAACAAUGGGUGACUGGUGGCAGCAUGAGACAAGGACCUGCUGAGCCCACUGGCACAUCUCAGACAAAAAAUUCCAGCAGGAGCAGACCUACAGUUCUCUAGUUGCAGCAGCACUAUGUCUUUACAUGAACUCAUCAUUAUCAUCC
rnacentral:lncRNA from 1 species